UAGUUAACGCUGCAAAUUAUUAUAAAUAUUAUAAUGAUAAUUAAUGUUAGCUUGUGAAAAUUAAUACAAAUUGGGUUUGUCACUAAAAAAUUAAAUUUUCAAAAGACGUACACGCAUCAUUUAUGCGUGCGAAAGAUCGUGAUUAAUGCUUCAAGCACUGUACGAUUCGGCCUCAUCAGCGGUGGAACGCGAUGAUUAGCGUAUUGCAUUGAUGAGGUAAUAAAUGAAUUAUUUAGCUCUUACACUUAGUUCCACACCGUUCUUGUUUUAAAGUUGAAAUUUUGCAAAAAAUGAAAACGAAAAUUAUUUUGUCUUAUAGUGUAUAAAGCCUUUGUACUAAAAAAGUUUUGCGAACUAUGGAAAAGAGAAUGUUUGGCAACCCUAAUCAAAAAUAUUUAAAGAGCCAACAUAGAGAAAAUUGCCGGCAUAAAGAAGUAGAUAUCGUUUUUUAAGUAAGCAAGAAAAUUUGUUCUAGAAGCAUUUCAUUAUAUUAGAACGUCAACGAUAUUAAGGAACUGUCAGGCCAGCUUACACAAAUGUGGCAUAUUUUUUAGCAUUCAGUUUCGCAGCAGACAGCGAUAUUAGGUGGCUUGCGGGCAAGCUUGAGAGGAAAUGUGCCUUCCAUGAACCUGCAAAUAGUUUCAUGGAAAGCUUUCUUGCAAGCUAACAAAGUCCAAGCAUGUGUGAUUGAAGAAUUGAUACUUUGGUAAAAAGUAGAUGACUGAGACAUCAUAAAUGGAGUUAUGCGAAUGCUAGUGAGAGCGUAUCGCACAUAUUUUCAGCGUCAUCCCUGAGUUUGCAUAGAACUGACUAGAUUUAAAUAAUGUGGACGCUGCCUAUAUGAAAGAACUGCACAUUUUUCAUAUUGAUUACGAAAAAGGGCCUAAAUGUGUUCAUUCCAACAACCCGCAUUAAAAAAGCCUGGGUGCUUAAAAUGCUUGAAAGUGCUUCUGAAAACAUCGCAUCAAAGUUGCAAUUAGGGAACAACUUUAGCAUGUACCUUGCAUUAUAGAGUCGCCAUUAAGAGCGAUAAGUACAAGUAACUUUCGUGCGGUGCUGUAGAUGCCAUUGCAGAGAAAAUGUUUGAUUAUAAACGCGUUAAAUCGUGAUUAUCACUGCAAACAUAAAUGCAGAUAAGUCCUUAUUGAUUUUUUAAAGGAAUGGCGCUACCCAUCUGUCAACAUUAGCUUCAAAGUCGGAUAUAAAAUCAAACGUUAGUCUUAGAACAACGUAAUACAGAUUUCUGGCAUUGAAAAUGAAUUGCUUUUUAUGUACGUUAAUAUGAUGCCCUUUUGUAAAUGUUUAUAUGGACAUAUUUCAAACACUAGUGUGGCAUUUCCUAUGUCAUGAAUAAAGACCGUCUAAGAGAUGAAAAGGACAUGCAAACGCAACUAUUGAACGCGGAAUAAGCAAAUAAGCUUCACUAAAUUAUAUACAAAUAUAUGCACUUACAUGUCGUGGGAAAAAUUGACAUUGAGAAAAAGCGACCUUAACAGCAAGCAGAGAAGUGAAAACUAAAACUGAAAUGAUUGCAAGCAUUUGCUAGUACACGAAGCAAAAACAGUAUAAAUGGUUGUAAGUGUAACGAUGUCAAGUGGCAACAUAAAAAAGGUCAAAAAUUGCCGAAAUAUUGCGGUAGAAAAAUAGAAAUUCAACGAAAAUCAAACCUAUCGUCUUACGAGUUACGAACAUUGCAUUGAUAGACAAAGUUUCAGAAUGUGGAUUCACGGGGUAAUAUAAGAUGUUUUCAGGACAAUGCACCGACAUAUGUACCAAAAUUCGAUAAUGGUAAGUCAAAUACACUUCCCUGAGAUGUCUUGCUCCAUUAAAGUUGACUUGAGAGGACCUACUGUUCGCUUGCAUCGACAUCCCAAGUCGUUUUUCUCUGCAACUUUUGAAAAUUUGCCCGAAUGGCCAAUGAAAUGGUUUGCGCUUAUUCCCACACUGUCGGAAAGGUAUAUCGCUGGCGAUAGUUUGAAAAAAAUAUUUCUCACCGUUCCCGUGAAAUAAGCACUUACCUGUGCUUCUACUUUGGAGAUAAUACCAUUUAUUUUGUAAUGAAAAAAACCUGCAAAUAGCUACAAAAUGUUGAAAACGUGACAAUAACAUGUAGAGCAGAUAAUCAGCGUCUUUCUUGCACCAAUCACUUUAACAACGUGAGGAUCUUAAAUGCGAACGAUCUAAAUUGCUGACAUUAGUCUUACUAAAGAAACGGGGUAAGUCACAAACUUUUGAAGCAUAAGUGAAGAUCCAAAAAACAUCAAUUUACAAACCACUGAUAGUUUUGAUUAACGUAUCGUCGACUUUAAUCUGAAAAUUGAUACUACGGAAAAUACCUAUUAUUUUUUAUAUUACAUCAUCAACAAAACAGAAACGGUUACAUUCAAAAAAAAAAAAAAAAAAGAAAAGCCAUUUGCGAAUUAUAGGCAUACAAAUGGCUUCAAAGAUUUACGUAAAAUAAGAAAAAGAAAAUUUGACUCGUAAUAUAACUUUUAUACCCGAUGUGCAAGAAGGAAAAUGUUGAGAUUUCUAAUAACGUUAGUGAAAGUCUCAUAAUAUAAGUUUUUCAUAUAAGUUUACAAUCGUUUUUUUAAGUAUUUAUCAUACAAUGUACAAGCAAAACGUGUAAAGAAACUGCAAGUUUAGGAAGAAAGUUUGGAGACCAUAGAUAGACCAACUGUUGCAGUAAAAAUUAAAAACCAAUAUUCUUUUAUUCUUUUUUUUUUUUAUUAGCUACAAGCAAACUUAUCAAUCAGCUCUCAGCGUGUCAAUCCUACGUUCAAUUACUACUUAAUGAAAAGGUGUGAAUCUGAGAUGCUAAGUCAAUCCAAAAGUAUUUCUGCUAAUUUUCAAUGCUAUUUGCUUUGCAUGUUGAUUGGAAAGAUUUAGAUAGUUUCGGAGGAAUCUAUCUGGAGAUGCGUAUGUAACUAUCGCCCGCUUUAUACUUAUUUGGUCGCGUUUAGCCCCCAAUAACUGAGGGGCAUCCGAGUGACAUUAGUUUCAAUGGGCAUUUCUAAUCAAUACGAGUUCUUCUUUAAAUCAAGCAAUUCUUUUCUAUGUUAUCAUUAUUAAAAGUGCCCCGGGGAGCACCAACAAAAUAACGAAAAAUUUACAAGACUAGCAGGCAGUAAUUAUUAAAGAAUAAUUUAUAAUGAGGCACUGGUAGCGAAACAGAUGCCAACAGACGUUGUGUUGAUAAAUUUCUAGGCGCAUGUAUAUGAAAAUUUUGCUUUUUUUCGAUUCCGCUGGAGUAGUGUUGUUGCAAAAAUUUUACUAAUUCGAUGGAAUACCAGCCCCCCCGCGCCUAGAAUCCAGAGCUGGGCCCGUUUCCUUGCGAUAGUUUCGCUUGGAUGGUGAAGUCCAACAGCUUGUUUUCCUAUGUCUUUUUUCUAAGUGCAUCCAAUAUGUGGAUGUAGUACACAUUGUAGCAUGGGUUUAACGUGGGUUCCUGCCAUGAAGGCUUCAUCCCACGGUGCCCCAAGCCACUUUAAGAGUAAUAUACGCCCCCUGGCGAGUUAGACAAUCCCCAUAGAGUAGGGGCCUAAGCAGCACCAGAGUCCAGAUAGUUUAUUGCGUAUGGAAAAAUAAUCCCACUCAGGUUAGUGAUGACGCAACGCUCACUUUGGCAAGGAACGGUGAAACCACAGCCACAACGAGUACUCCCCGAAGGGCCGCACCCAGCAGUGAGGGCUCACAAAUUGAUCAACUCAAAAAAAGGGGAAUGCGCUUGAUUCCACCAUAAGGUUUCGACAAGCGCCGUUGAUCAACGUUGACCACCAUUGCCGCUAGGCAUCCCUGGAUAUAUGUUCAAAAAGUAUGAUAGGCAAAAAGGGUAAAAAGCCUUCUGUCAAAUCCUUUUUCAUAUUAUUAUUUAUAGAGAAAAUUCUAAAUUUUUAUU